rnacentral:rRNA from 1 species
GCUCCCUGAUGUUAGCGGCGGACGGGUGAGUAACACGUGGGUAACCUGCCUGUAAGACUGGGAUAACUCCGGGAAACCGGGGCUAAUACCGGAUGCUUGUUUGAACCGCAUGGUUCAAACAUAAAAGGUGGCUUCGGCUACCACUUACAGAUGGACCCGCGGCGCAUUAGCUAGUUGGUGAGGUAAUGGCUCACCAAGGCGACGAUGCGUAGCCGACCUGAGAGGGUGAUCGGCCAAACUGGGACUGAGACACGGCCCAGACUCCUACGGGAGGCAGCAGUAGGGAAUCUUCCGCAAUGGACGAAAGUCUGACGGAGCAACGCCGCGUGAGUGAUGAAGGUUUUCGGAUCGUAAAGCUCUGUUGUUAGGGAAGAACAAGUACCGUUCGAAUAGGGCGGUACCUUGACGGUACCUAACCAGAAAGCCACGGCUAACUACGUGCCAGCAGCCGCGGUAAUACGUAGGUGGCAAGCGUUGUCCGGAAUUAUUGGGCGUAAAGGGCUCGCAGGCGGUUUCUUAAGUCUGAUGUGAAAGCCCCCGGCUCAACCGGGGAGGGUCAUUGGAAACUGGGGAACUUGAGUGCAGAAGAGGAGAGUGGAAUUCCACGUGUAGCGGUGAAAUGCGUAGAGAUGUGGAGGAACACCAGUGGCGAAGGCGACUCUCUGGUCUGUAACUGACGCUGAGGAGCGAAAGCGUGGGGAGCGAACAGGAUUAGAUACCCUGGUAGUCCACGCCGUAACGAUGAGUGCUAAGUGUUA